rnacentral:rRNA from 1 species
CCUACGGGUGGCUGCAGUCGAGAAUCAUUCACAAUGGGGGAAACCCUGAUGGUGCGACGCCGCGUGGGGGAAUGAAGGUCUUCGGAUUGUAAACCCCUGUCAUGUGGGAGCAAAUUAAAAAGGUAGUACCCCAAGAGGCAGAGACUGCUAACUCUGUGCCAGCAGCCGCGGUAAUACAGGGGCCUCCAGCGUUGUUCGGAAUCACGGGGGGGAAAGGGUGCGUAGGCUGUUUCGUGAGUCGUGUGGGAACGGGGAGGGCUCAACCCGCGGACGGCACAUGAUAGUGCGGGACUAGAGUACAGGAGAGGGAACCGGAAUUCUCGGUGUAGCAGUGAAAUGCGUAGAUAUCGAGAGGAACACUCGUGGCGAAGGCGGGUUCCUGGACAUUAACUGACGCUGAGGCACGAAGGCCAGGGGAGCGAAAGGGAUUAGAUACCCGGGUAGUC